GGCGGCCCCGUGCGCGGGCAGCGGGAACAUGGCGAGCGCGGGCAGCGCAGCGGAGGAGGGCGCUGGCGAGGAGGAAAACUUUGAAGAUGCCUUUGAAAGUAUCCCAGUGUUAAUUUUACCAACCAGAUGAAUGGCAUAUGACACAGACACAUCCUAAGCAUUAAUUGAAUUACGGACUAAGGUCCAGAUCCC